rnacentral:snoRNA from 1 species
AUGUAUACAUAUAUCAUCUCCUUUUUGGAUUUCCUUCCCAUUUAGAUCACCACAGAGUGUGCAAUGGCUGCAAACAGCAGCCUCCUUGGUAGUGUAUGCAACCUGUUGCCUGUACAGGUAGCCCUAAGGGACCUUGGAGACAACU